GACGAACGCUGGCGGCGUGCCUAACACAUGCAAGUCGAACGGGGUUGAGCCCUUCGGGACUCGACUUAGUGGCGAACGGGUGAGUAACGCGUGAGGAACCUGCCUCUCAGUGGGGGACAACAGUUGGAAACGACUGCUAAUACCGCAUAACAUAUCUGGACCGCAUGAUCUGGAUAUCAAAGCUUUAUGUGCUGAGAGAUGGCCUCGCGUCUGAUUAGCUAGUUGGUGGGGUAACGGCCCACCAAGGCGACGAUCAGUAGCCGGACUGAGAGGUUGAACGGCCACAUUGGGACUGAGACACGGCCCAGACUCCUACGGGAGGCAGCAGUGGGGAAUAUUGCACAAUGGGCGAAAGCCUGAUGCAGCAACGCCGCGUGAGGGAAGACGGUCUUCGGAUUGUAAACCUCUGUCCUUGGUGACGAAUAAAAUAGACGGUA
rnacentral:rRNA from 1 species